rnacentral:rRNA from 1 species
UACGUAUGGGGCAAGCGUUAUCCGGAUUUACUGGGUGUAAAGGGUGCGCAGGCGGGAUGCCAAGUCAGCGGUCAAAUUUCGGGGCUCAACCCCGGGACUGCUUUUGAAACUGUCAGGCUGGAGUGCAGGAGAGGAAAGCGGAAUUCCUAGUGUAGCGGUGAAAUGCGUAGAUAUUCGGAGGAACACCGGUGGCGAAGGCGGCCAACUGGGCUUUAACUGACGCUGAGGCUCGAAAGUGUGGGGAGCAA